UACGAAGGGGGCUAGCGUUGCUCGGAAUUACUGGGCGUAAAGGGAGCGUAGGCGGACAGUUAAGUCAGUGGUGAAAGCCCAGGGCUCAACCCUGGAAUUGCCUUUGAUACUGAUUGUCUUGAGUAUGGGAGAGGUAUGCGGAACUCCGAGUGUAGAGGUGAAAUUCGUAGAUAUUACGGAAGAACACCAGUGGCGAAGGCGGCAUACUGGCCCAUUACUGACGCUGAGGCUCGAAAGCGUGGGGAGCAAACAGG
rnacentral:rRNA from 1 species